GGCGUCUGACCUCAGACGCAGCUAGGGCGGAGUAGACAGGGGCCGGGGUCCAUCUUGGCAGCUUUUCACGAGGAAGGAAGGGAGAGUAAAAUAGUUCAACACGUGUGUUCAUCGUUCAUGAGCUGAGAGAGAUGUACUGUAGCACAGUGUUGGUAUGGAUGCUGUACAGCGUGAAGCAGAUAUACACCUGUGAUCAGACAUGUCAAGAUGGCGUCUUCCAUUACCAUGAAUACUGGGACGGGGAGGAGGAGGACAGUCAGUGUUCUGACCAAGAUGUCCC